UUUUUUAUCACAAGCAGAAAAAAAUGAAAUUUAAUGAAUAUGACGAACUAAAAAUUGGAAAUUGCAAUCACCCAUAGAACACUUGAAAAAAAAGUGCGAUCGAUUUCUAAGCCACCCUCUGGCCUCUCGCAAGCAUCUUCGACAGAAUUUCUCUGAGAUAAUCACAGCGACUGCGGUGAUAAUCAAUCCACAAGCACAGCUGCCUUAUUGCCUCCCUCUUCUCCUCUCCCAGGUCUAAUAUACUUUCAUCCCUCUCUUUCAUCAACUUCUCUGAUGCUGCCAACUUUUUCUCCAAUUGGUUGACAGCUAUAGUUAAGUUAUCUUUCUCCCCUUCAUCCUUUUUCACCUUGAUCUCUAGUUGUUCAACCUUCUCUCUCAAUGCUGAUUCCCGUUCUUUUGUAACUUGCAGUUGUAGUACUAGAUCGCCUACUUCUUUUCCAAGUUGUCCCUUCUCAUUCUUCAUCUCUAUUAGCCUAUUUUUUGCAAUCUGAAUCUCAUUUGACAUUCCCAAAAUACACUGUACAUUGUUGUCACAUUCCUCUUCAAAUUUUUGGGUCAAAGCUUCUACUCCUGUCAAAGUACCGUUUACUUUCACUGAAAUAUCUGUGACCAUCCUCUUACAAGCUUCAUUGGUAGCAGCUAUUA
rnacentral:misc_RNA from 1 species